ensembl:lncRNA
UGUCACACUGUUUUAUUGGUAAGUAAUAUAAACAACACAAUAUUAUAUUUUAAUUAAUUUAUUUAUUUAUUCAUAACUUCCUAACCAACAAUUGUACUCUGAAUGUCUACAUUCUUCUUUAGAUUCACCCACAUGUACACUAAAUGUGACACCAGACAGUCCUGUAUUCACUGAAGAGACACUCAGUCUGACGUGUGUGAUUGAGUCUUAUAAUGACUGGAAAUGGAGAAAUUACAAGACAUAUGACUGGAGAUAUGACUGGAGAAAUGGCUGGACAUAUGAGUGGAGAUAUGAGUGGUAUAAAGGCAGCAAAUAUAGUGUAAUGCUAAACACGUCUGAUCGGUACACUGUAAACAGAGACACUCUCAGUAUCAGAGGAGCGAAUGAGUCUGAUCAGGAUCAGUACUGGUGUAGAGGACGGAGAGAUGAGAGACCACAAUCAUCACAUUUAAGCUCUGCUGUUAAUCUCACUGUGAUAGAUUUACACAGAACUGUGCUAACCAUGAUGCCAGACAGUCCUGUGUUCACUGGAGAGACAGUCAGUCUGACGUGUGGGAUAAAGUCUAAUCACAGCAACUGGACAGAGUGGACAAAUAACUUGAGAUAUGAGUGGAAUAAAGGCACAUACAGUGUAAAAUUAAACACAUCUGAGCAUUACACUGUAAACAGAGACACUCUCACUAUCAGAGGAGUGAAUGAGUCUGAUCAGGAUCUGUACUGGUGUAGAGGACAGAGAGAUGGAGAACCAUCAAGAUCACCGAAUACAUCUGUUUAUCUCUAUGUGAUGGGUGAGUUAAAUAUCAUUGUGCUGCCAAACUUUCUACUGCAUGUACUGUUUGAAUACAAAUCCAGUCAAGAAACUGGAACACUUUCUUAUUCCUGAAUGCAGCUCAAUAUAUUCUGUAUUCUUUAUCUUAAAAGUAGGCUAUAUAAAACAGAAUAUGUUAUUGCAGUGAUAAUCAACUCAAAAUGUAAUAGUCGCAUGUUUAAAUCAGCUCAAAAAUAAAAAUCAGUCAAAUAAAAACA